GUGUUUCAGGUAGCUGUUAAGUUGUUUCUAUGUGGUUGCUAAGCGGUGGCUAGGGUGUUUCAGGUAGCUGUUAGGUUGUUUUUAUGUGGUUGCUAAGCGGUUGCUAGGCUGUUCCAGGUAGCUGUUAGGUUGUUUCUAUGUGGUUGGUAAACGGUUGCUAGGGUGUUUCAGGUAGCUGUUAGGUUGUUUCUAUGUGGUUGCUAAACGGUUGCUAGGGUGUUUCAGGUAGCUGUUAAGUUAUUUCUAUGUGGUUGCUAAAUGGUUGCUAGGGUGUUUCAGGUAGCUGUUAGAUUGUUUCUCUGUAGUUGCUAUGCGGUUGCUAGUGUUUCAGGUAGCUGUUAGAUUGUUUCUCAGUAGUUGUUAUGCGGUUGCUAGGUAUUUUAGGUAGCUGUUAGGUUGUUUCUAUGUGGUUGCU